CAGCAGCCACGGUAAUACGUAGGUGGCAAGCGUUGUCCGGAAUUAUUGGGCGUAAAGGGCUCGCAGGCGGUUUCUUGAGUCUGAUGUGAAAGCCCCCGGCUCAACCGGGGAGGGUCAUUGGAAACUGGGAAACUUGAGUGCGGAAGAGGAGAGUGGAAUUCCACGUGUAGCGGUGAAAUGCGUAGAGAUGUGGAGGAACACCAGUGGCGAAGGCGACUCUCUGGUCUGUAACUGACGCUGAGGAGCGAAAGCGUGGGGAGCGAACAGGAUUAGAUACCCCGGUAGUCCCUGUCUCUUAUAC
rnacentral:rRNA from 1 species